UACGAGGGGGGCUAGCGUUGCUCGGAAUUACUGGGCGUAAAGGGCGCGUAGGCGGAUAUCUAAGUUGGGGGUGAAAUCCCGGGGCUCAACCUCGGAAUUGCCUUCAAAACUGGAUAUCUUGAGUUCGGGAGAGGUGAGUGGAACUCCGAGUGUAGAGGUGAAAUUCGUAGAUAUUCGGAAGAACACCAGUGGCGAAGGCGACUCACUGGCCCGAUACUGACGCUGAGGCGCGAAAGCGUGGGGAGCAAACAGG
rnacentral:rRNA from 1 species